ACAUUAACUUCCCCUCCUGGGCCCGCACAGGACGCUGCAGCGGGUCACUGGUCUGGACUUGCUGGGGUGACUUCCAGGAGGGGGGCAGGCUGUGUCCCUCUGAAGGGAGGCGCCCCCUGGAAACAUCACAGAGUCCCCAGAGAACCUGGAGGCCCUCAGGAGACCGGCUGAUGAUCACUCCUAAAUUCACCUGUAAGUCCUCCUCUGGAGCCUAUUUCAUGUGUAUUCAGCUGACUGAAACUAGAAGAUGGCGGGAAUACACACAGUGAAAUUGAGCCCAGCUUCAAAGAAGGCCCCAACAGUGAAUGCAGUUGAACACCGGAUUGAAUAUAUCUGAAGUGUCAAUGGAAAACUGAGCUUCACCAUUCUCAUCUGUUGUGUAAUUUCCCAUAAAUUUGCCAUCAAGCUUCAGUUGCAACAACUUGCUCACCAUCGAAAUUCUCCUGGAAACAUUGUAGAUGGGAAGAGAUUAAAGAUUGGAAAGUAGUGCUGAAUGAUGUUUUAAGAAUAAAGAAUUAUAUCAUCUUGAGAGGCACUAUACACAGGUGGAACAGAAGCACUCAUCAAAUGCAUAAGACCGAAACCAACACCGACUAAGUUGCUUGAAGGAAUAGUUUCUUUGCACACCCGGAUUUGGGCCUUGCCUUGCACAGGUUGACCAUAGGUGUACCUAGUUGGAGAAGGUGGACUUAUUAUCACGGAUAAACAAUAGUACAGCAAUAUUUUAUGGUCCUUUUCAGAAAUUA